rnacentral:rRNA from 1 species
UUUCUUCGGAAUGACGAUUUAGUGACUGAGUGGCGGACGGGUGAGUAACGCGUGGGUAACCUGCCUUAAUACAGGGGGAUAACAGUUAGAAAUGACUGCUAAUACCGCAUAAGCGCACAGCUUCGCAUGAAGCAGUGUGAAAAACUCCGGUGGUACAAGAUGGACCCGCGUCUGAUUAGCUGGUUGGUGAGGUAACGGCCCACCAAGGCGACGAUCAGUAGCCGGCCUGAGAGGGUGAACGGCCACAUUGGGACUGAGACACGGCCCAAACUCC